rnacentral:rRNA from 1 species
AUUGACCUCAAAUCAGGAGACAC